AUGGCUCAUUACAACAGCCGUUGUUUCUUGGAUCUUGAUUUACUUGGAUAACUGUGGUAAUUCUAGAGCUAAUACAUGCAACCAAGCUCUGACCUUGCGGAAGGAGNGCAUUUAUUAGAACAAGACCAAUCAGGCUUUGCCUGCAAUCUGGUGACUCUGAAUAACUUUGCUGAUCACACGGUCCUAGCACCGGUGACAUAUCUUUCAAGUGUCUGCCCUAUCAACUUUCGAUGGUAGUUUAUGUGCCUACCAUGGUGGUAACGGGUAACGGAGAAUAAGGGUUCGACUCCGGAGAGGGAGCCUGAGAAAUGGCUACCACAUCCAAGGAAGGCAGCAGGCGCGCAAAUUACCCACUCUCAUUACGAGGAGGUAGUGACGAAAAAUAACGAGACGGUUCUCUAUGAGGCCCGUCAUCGGAAUGGGUACAAUCUAAACCCUUUAACGAGGAUCUAUUGGAGGGCAAGUCUGGUGCCAGCAGCCGCGGUAAUUCCAGCUCCAAUAGCAUAUACCAAUUCUGUUGCUGUUAAAAAGCUCGUAGUUGGAUCUUUACCAAGGAGGGAGUCGGUCUCAAGGACCUGUACUCUUUUCCGAGGUUAUUUUCGCUGGUUUUCUCAUGGUGCUCUUUACCGGGUGUCAUGGGUGGCUAGCAUGUUUACUUUGAAAAAAUUAGAGUGCUCAAAACAGGCGUUACUGCCCGAAUAGUGGUGCAUGGAAUAAUGGAAUAGGAUCUCGGUUCUAUUUUGUUGGUUUUAGGAGCGCGAGAUAAUGAUUAAGAGGGACAGACGGGGGCAUUCGUAUUGCGGCGUUAGAGGU
rnacentral:rRNA from 1 species